rnacentral:rRNA from 1 species
UACGUAGGGCGCAAGCGUUGUCCGGAAUUAUUGGGCGUAAAGAGCUCGUAGGCGGUCUGUUACGUCCGCUGUGAAAUCCCAGGGCUUAACCCUGGGCUUGCAGUGGAUACGGGCAGACUAGAGGCAGGUAGGGGAGAAUGGAAUUCCCGGUGUAGCGGUGAAAUGCGCAGAUAUCGGGAGGAACACCGGUGGCGAAGGCGGUUCUCUGGGCCUGGCCUGACGCUGAGGAGCGAAAGCGUGGGGAGCGAACAGG